AGUUCUUUUUCCAUUGUGGAGUAGUUGCAUUGGGCAUCAUCCAAGGUCUUCAAAGCAUAGUAUAUUACAUGAGGUGCAUUACCCACUCUUUGUCCCAAAAUAGCCCCCUUAGCAUGAUUCCUAGAUCUCACAUAAUUUCAAACGGCAAGUCCCAAUUUGAUGGUUGGAUCAUAGGAGCCGAAGUUAAGAGUUCCUUCAAUUUGUUG
rnacentral:misc_RNA from 1 species